UUGCAACCACCCUUCUUCUUCCACGCCUCAGGACUGUAAACCCUAAAAUCACUUCAUCGUCGUAACACAACCAAGUAGCGGAAUCACGAUUUAUGUUCAAGCCAUAAACUCAGCAUUCAAUCUCAAUAAAUUCUUCCCCCACUACUUCUUAUUCCACCAAAACCUUCUAUCUCUUCGGAUUCUUCAGGAUUUGGAUCCUAUAAAUAGGCGUUCCUGGCUUCAUGGUUAUCACAGAAUCAUUCAUUUUCUCUACUCUGAACUCAAACACAUACCGGCGAGAACAAUGGCUGCUUCCCAGAUCUCCGUUUCCGAGUUGAGGAGAGGAAGUUGUGCUCUGAUCGUCGUGACACGCCUACUCCUUUUUUGGGAAGCUAGGAAUGCUAAGAAGGGCGGUGAACUAAUCGGUGUCGUUAUGCUUCUCAUGGAUGAUCAGUCUUUCUCAUCCAAGCAUUUGUUUAUGUCCAUCGGCUGAACACGUUCCGAGAAAUCGUUCGUGAAGGAGCUAUUUAUGAGCUUAGUGGAAUUGAUGUGACUAGAAGCAACAAUCAUUUCAAGCUUUGUGAUUUUGUUGUGUCUAUCCGACUGAACGAGUUUACAAAGAUGUUUGAAGAGCCCGCAGUUGCUAAUCUGAUCCCUACUGAGAUGUUCAGGUUCCGAUCUGUUGAGCACACUCUCUCCUGCGUAAGUAUCUUCAAGAUUAUAGUGGGUUUUUUUAGUCUAUCAACAUAAUUGUUUUCCUAGGCUUGAUUGUAUGCUGUUCAGUCUAAGGCCAUGUGUGCAAACCUUUCCUUCUCCCUUGAGCUUUAAUCGACAGAGGUCACGAGCCUGUAUCCUAACACUUAGGCAAAAUUGUUUCAAGCAUCGAUUAAUUUCCACCGACUCUGAUGGUUGGAACACCUCCCACAAUGCCUACAGGAGAUUGUUGGGACCACUUUAACCUUUCAACUGAAGCUAUCUGAGUUCAACUCUGUGUAAAACAUUAGACCUUCACCGUUUCCUACAUUUUUUAUAGCAACCAACGCUCACCACAGCCUCAUUUUGAGCUUCAUAAUCAGUGAUAACUGACACAUUGACAAGGUGGGAAUAAAAACCUUGGGGAUCAGAUGCUAUGCACGGUGCUGGAGCAGUCAAAACGAAGCGACAAUGAUGGCCCUAAGAGCAGUGUCGUCAACCAUGGUGUGUGUGAUGCUAAUAGUGUUGUGGAAGGUGGAAGAGGUGAGGCCAUUGAACCAAGUAACAGCUCUGAAAAUGGGAGGAACACAAGUGAGGUUGCACCACGGAAGGAAGUUGUGUAAUUUGGAAAAAGGCACGGACUGACUAAUAAAAAAGAACAAGGAGAAGUUAAUUUUAAGGAAAUGAUUACAGGUCUGUUGCAUUAGGUUUUAAAUAUAUUUCUCAAAGACAAGAAGUUAGAAUACUUCAAAUAUUUUGCAUGUUUGGUUUUGUUGCUUUACUUUUCAUGAUUAUGUAUCCGACUUUUCUAAUUUCUAAUACAGUUAAU